AAGUGUUCCAGCUCUUUCAGAAUUUGUCUAGCAAGUUUUCGGGUUUUCAUUAGAAAAUCUCCC
rfam:Pongo abelii chromosome 7.